GUGAAUCAUCAAAUUUUUGAACGCAAAUUGCGCUUCCUGGCAUUCCGGGAAGUAUGCCUGUUUGAGGGUCAGUAUUAACAAAAAAUCGGUUUGGUUGAAAAUUGUGACGUUUCCGGAGUGUGGGCUAUCUUAACUUUUUUGGUUAAGGGGAUUAAAAUUGACCUGUUUUGCGCAUUUUUAGAGGUACAUGAAUGUUUUUUUUUUUUCGUCUAUUC
rnacentral:misc_RNA from 1 species